AUUAGUCCGUCUUGCUUUCCAGACGCCGUGCUACCGGGCGGGCGAAGAACCAUCGUGUGAGUAAAACACACAUAUUUUUUGUGCGGGGGUGAGAGGGGGGCACCACAACACACCACAGACCUUUGAGGAGCACCACCCACCCACUAAGACAGAAGGCAGCCACAGACUCGCCUAUUUUUACAACAAAAACACCAAUACAAGAAACAGCAUAUUUUUUUUUUUUUUUUUUAUGGUCAGAAUUAAACCUUUGGGGUGGGUUUUAAAACCUUUUUUUUUUUUUAUUUUUUAUUCGUCAGGUGAACGCGGCGGCGUGCUUAACACAUGCAAGUCGAACGAACCUUUCGGGGUUAGUGGCGGACGGGUGAGUAACGCGUGAGGAUCUGCCUUUAGGAGGGGGACAACAGAGGGAAACUUCUGCUAAUACCCCAUAUGGCGAGAGCUGAAACAUUUAUGGCCUAGAGAGGAACUCGCGUCUGAUUAGCUAGUUGGUGAGGUAAAGGCUUACCAAGGCGACGAUCAGUAGCUGGUCUGAGAGGAUGAUCAGCCACACUGGGACUGAGACACGGCCCAGACUCCUACGGGAGGCAGCAGUGGGGAAUUUUCCGCAAUGGGCGCAAGCCUGACGGAGCAACGCCGCGUGAGGGAGGAAUGCCUGUGGGUUGUAAACCUCUUUUAUCAGGGAAGAAGAUCUGACGGUACCUGAUGAAUCAGCAUCGGCUAACUCCGUGCCAGCAGCCGCGGUAAGACGGAGGAUGCAAGCGUUAUCCGGAAUUAUUGGGCGUAAAGCGUCCGCAGGUGGCUAAUUAAGUCUGCUGUUAAAGCCCAGGGCUCAACUCUGGAUUAGCGGUGGAAACUGAAUAGCUUGAGUGCGACAGGGGUAGAGGGAAUUCCCAGUGUAGCGGUGAAAUGCGUAGAUAUUGGGAAGAACACCAGUGGCGAAGGCGCUCUACUGGGUCGCAACUGACACUCAUGGACGAAAGCUAGGGGAGCGAAAGGGAUUAGAUACCCCUGUAGUCCUAGCUGUAAACGAUGGAUACUAGGUGUUGGACGUAUCGACCCGUUCAGUACCGAAGCUAACGCGUUAAGUUCCCGCCUGGAGACCCCCCAAUGG
rnacentral:rRNA from 1 species